rfam:Dyadobacter psychrophilus strain DSM 22270 genome assembly, contig: LX75DRAFT_scaffold00001.1
UUGCACCUGGCAAAUCGGAACUACCAGCUCCUUCCGAAUCCCCCAGGUCCUGACGGAAGCAAGGGUAGGUGGUCGAUGCGGUGAGAUUCUCGGUUUGCCUUUUU